rnacentral:rRNA from 1 species
AACGAACGCUGGCGGCAUGCCUAACACAUGCAAGUCGAACGAGACCUUCGGGUCUAGUGGCGCACGGGUGCGUAACGCGUGGGAACCUGCCCUUAGGUUCGGAAUAACUCCCCGAAAGGGGUGCUAAUACCGGAUAAUGUCUUCGGACCAAAGAUUUAUCGUCUUUGGAUGGGCCCGCGUUGGAUUAGCUAGUUGGUAGGGUAAAAGCCUACCAAGGCGACGAUCCAUAGCUGGUCUGAGAGGAUGGUCAGCCACACUGGGACUGAGACACGGCCCAGACUCCUACGGGAGGCAGCAGUGGGGAAUAUUGGACAAUGGGCGAAAGCCUGAUCCAGCAAUGCCGCGUGAGUGAUGAAGGCCUUAGGGUUGUAAAGCUCUUUUACCCGGGAUGAUAAUGACAGUACCGGGAGAAUAAGCUCCGGCUAACUCCGUG